GCCACAAUGAAACAGAGAAAAUCACCAAAUCUACACUGAGAAGCUGUAACUGGAAAUCAAUUUUGAGCAUUAAUUGAUCCGGAGGGAAGGAUCGCUUGGUGGCUACAAUGGAAGAAUGACCACAGCAACCCUUUCAACCUUCAUAGCAUGAAUCAGGAGAGGAAGCUGAGUGACACAGACAAGAUGUUUCCCAGCGGAGCGACGAACAACACCAGACGCACCUGAGAACAGAAAAGCCAAGAGUGGUAAUUACAACUAAAUACCAGCUGUUCCAGGAUUCCCAUCAACAUCUGGAGCCACUGGAGCAGUCCUCAUUACCUGGCGCUACUGGUGUCUGAGAGGCAGGAAGGAUUGUCGGAAGCUGUGGGAGGACAGGACAAAAGAAAUGCGAGGAAACUGCCUGAAUAGCAAGAGGUUGGUGAAGAUGCUGGCGCUGGAGAUGUACCGGUGGUAAAGGAUACCGGCCAGUGAUGUUGAGACACAGGUUUAAACCCCGCCUGAGGUACCCCGUCUCACACAAGUGUGUGUGUAUG